UACGUAGGGGGCUAGCGUUGUCCGGAAUCAUUGGGCGUAAAGCGCGCGUAGGCGGCCCGGUAAGUCCGCUGUAAAAGUCAAAGGCUCAACCUUUGAAUGUCAGUGGAUACUGCCGGGCUAGAGUCCGGAAGAGGCGAGUGGAAUUCCUGGUGUAGCGGUGAAAUGCGCAGAUAUCAGGAAGAACACCAAUGGCGAAGGCAGCUCUCUGGGACGGUACUGACGCUGAGACGCGAAAGCGUGGGGAGCGAACAGG
rnacentral:rRNA from 1 species